rnacentral:lncRNA from 1 species
UUGACGAUAAAAUAACUAUGGGUUACACUAAGAACACAUUGUGCGUAAGACCGAGUUGUGAAUGAGGUCCAUCAUUCCUAAAUAGUUCAGUUAUCUGUAAUAAGGUAUAAAGUUAGUGUCCGAUAUCAUGUGUUUGUGCAGAGACUUUCAGACUCCGCUGUGACGCAACAUGACGGAGCCCAGAGCCAAGUCUCCUCCACUGUCGGGAAACAGAUCCAAUGUUUCUGAUGAAGCAAUAUGUAGUUUUUAGGUCAAUAACUCUGUGCUUCUGUGACGGAUGUGGUUUUCACCCUUACUCUGCGUUGUGUUUCUUAUUAUUAUUAAAAUGAUCUCUCGGACUCAGGCUAUCUUUGGGGAUGACCAACUCCAUUUAUUGUUAAAACAAUUUAAGAGGCUCAGCCCUGCUCCUCGUGGUGGUAGCUGCUCUUCCUCAGACGCGGCUGUCUCCUUCGACCUCCUGGCGCCAGGAACUUGGGCCAGAUACCAUGUGCGUCGCCGGCGAGGCCACAGCGACCCCUGGCGGCGCAGCGGUAGCACCACACACACCCAACAGCAGGGAUUUACCAUUAGUCCAUAUUAACCUGGUUACACUUCCAUUGGGUCAGUCCUGGGAGGCGUCUGGUAUUAAAGGAAUCACGGCAGAGUCUGAUCCAUAAGAUCUGAGGAUGAAGACUGCUCUGCUGCUGUUGUUGGGGGGGUUUCUGUGUGGGCUCCAUGGGGCUGAGGCCCAGGACACUCCAGACCUGCUCUUCAUGAUCACCAAACUCCAGACCAGAGUCCAAAACCUGGAGAACAGCCAGGCUCAGCAACAAAGUCUCCUGUUCUUUUCUACUUUCCCCAAGGCCUCAGAUGAAGGAACCUACGGCCCGUUCAGCGAAGCCACUUCCAUCAAAUACAGUAAAGUUAUGACCAACGUCGGCAACGGAUACAACGCUGCCACAGCAGCUCAACAACCCGACCACCAUCAGAACCUUCAGGACAAAGUCAGGACAGAAAAUGACCUUUUAAAGCCACAUGGUCCUAAACCUUUGACCAGCUGCAAAAACAGAUUUCAGUUUAUUUGUUGUUUACAAUAAAAGCUUCACUCAAAUGUUUUUUGUCUCACUCCCUUUUCUUCUUUUCCCAUAUUGAAGUUCUACUUUGAACCUUGUAAAG